rnacentral:rRNA from 1 species
GAGUUUGAUCCUGGCUCAGGAUGAACGCUGGCGGCGUGCCUAAUACAUGCAAGUCGAACGAAACUUCUUUAUCACCGAGUGCUUGCACUCACCGGUAAAGGGUUGAGUGGCGAACGGGUGAGUAACACGUGGGCAACCUGCCCAAAAGAGGGGGAUAACACUUGGAAACAGGUGCUAAUACCGCAUAACCAUAGUUACCGCAUGGUAGCUAUGUAAAAGGUGGCUAUGCUACCGCUUUUGGAUGGGCCCGCGGCGCAUUAGCUAGUUGGUGGGGUAAAGGCUUACCAAGGCAAUGAUGCGUAGCCGAACUGAGAGGUUGAUCGGCCACAUUGGGACUGAGACACGGCCCAAACUCCUACGGGAGGCAGCAGUAGGGAAUCUUCCACAAUGGGCGAAAGCCUGAUGGAGCAACGCCGCGUGGGUGAAGAAGGUCUUCGGAUCGUAAAACCCUGUUGUUAGAGAAGAAAGUGCGUGAGAGUAACUGUUCACGUUUCGACGGUAUCUAACCAGAAAGCCACGGCUAACUACGUGCCAGCAGCCGCGGUAAUACGUAGGUGGCAAGCGUUAUCCGGAUUUAUUGGGCGUAAAGGGAACGCAGGCGGUCUUUUAAGUCUGAUGUGAAAGCCUUCGGCUUAACCGGAGUAGUGCAUUGGAAACUGGGAGACUUGAGUGCAGAAGAGGAGAGUGGAACUCCAUGUGUAGCGGUGAAAUGCGUAGAUAUAUGGAAGAACACCAGUGGCGAAAGCGGCUCUCUGGUCUGUAACUGACGCUGAGGUUCGAAAGCGUGGGUAGCAAACAGGAUUAGAUACCCUGGUAGUCCACGCCGUAAACGAUGAAUGCUAAGUGUUGGAGGGUUUCCGCCCUUCAGUGCUGCAGCUAACGCAAUAAGCAUUCCGCCUGGGGAGUACGACCGCAAGGUUGAAACUCAAAGGAAUUGACGG